rnacentral:rRNA from 1 species
UGGGGAAUCUUGCACAAUGGGGGAAACCCUGAUGCAGCGACGCCGCGUGAGCGAUGAAGGUUUUCGAAUCGUAAAGCUCUGUCCUAUGGGAAGAUAAUGACGGUACCAUAGGAGGAAGCCCCGGCUAACUACGUGCCAGCAGCCGCGGUAAUACGUAGGGGGCGAGCGUUGACCGGAAUUACUGGGCGUAAAGGGUUCGCAGGCGGCAUGACAAGUCCGAUGUAAAAGGCGAAAGCUCAACUUUCGUAAGCAUCGGAAACUGUCAAGCUUGAGUGAAGGAGAGGCAAGUGGAAUUCCUAGUGUAGCGGUGGAAUGCGUAGAUAUUAGGAGGAAUACCGGUGGCGAAGGCGACUUGCUGGACUUCAACUGACGCUGAGGAACGAAAGCGUGGGUAGCAAACAGG